ACAGCAAGUUCCUGGGACACAGGUGGGAGUUCCUGGAUUCUUUGGGACCAGACUGCGUGCGAGCGUUGGUUACCUUCGCUUGGGAGAGAGCAGUUUUGUGGACCAGCCCACGGCCCUCCAGCCCACCUUCUGCCAGCGUGUGCAGGAAAGUGUUGGAUCCCAGGGAGGGAGGGGAACGCUGGGACCGCCCCACUCAUUUUUGUUCCUCUGUGCCAGGAAGAAAAGGCUGCUUGGUUCCCUUUUUGUGGGGAUGUGCCACAUAAGGCGAUCAGAAUCCCAGAUUUCUGACCCCUCUGCCCAGUUCUACCUCCCAGCAAGCUGCCAAGUUUGUCCGGCUUUUUCCUGGGGAUGUGGGGUUGGGGUGCGGGGAGACACGCCCUCCACACCCCUUGAGGUUGCUCUAGGGUGGGAGCCUGGGGGAGGUGGCGCAUGCUAUGCCUUGCCCCUGUGCCCGGCUCACCAGCUGUGAGCUCAGGCCAGGCCUGGGUCUGGGAACUGGACCUGGAUGCGGGUUUUCUCCCGAGGUGGGGUUGGUGCUUUUUCUCUUCCAGGGUUGGCCGCACUGGGGAAGGAAGUGGAGCCGGGCCUGGGCUGCCUGCGAUACUGGCAGGCUCCUUUUCUUCCGCUUCGCUGCGCACACACCACCACCUUUCUUCCAGCCCGACACCGCAGAGAUGCAGAGAGGCACCAAAGGCCUGUACUCUGCAACUGCCAGGAGACUUCAGCUCUGGCCACAUGGCCAGGACUCCAUGCCUGGUGCUAGUGGCCAUCGGAGAACCCUGGGUGAUUUCUGUGAAGACCUUGACCUUUCCUCAGUUUUGGAGCGGAGCCUUCUGUGGACAAGAACCCUCCUUGGCCGAAGCUCGGCUGGCAACUGAACCUGGCUGUUGGGGACAGCUCAGGGGUACCAGAGGGGGUGAACAGCCACCUGCCCUUCCCCUGUCUGAGGGCUCUCCUAAUCCCUUGAGGAUUUAACUCACCCUUGCUCAACUGCCUGCCUGCCUGCCUGCCACAUGAGGCCAGGCUUCCCUGACCACACUGUCCCCUGGGUCUCAGAGGCUGCGACAAGAGGUGGCAGGUGCAAAAUGGGAGUUGGGAGCGGCUGCUGUGGGAGAAGCACAGACGUGGGUCUUUGGGGCGCCACAGGCUGGAGUCCCCCUCCCUCUGUCUGUCGCUGAGGUGUGUCCUGUGAGUGUCAUUUGUGUGUGUGUGUGUGGGGGGAACUUUCUAGAUAGUCCUGUCUGGUCAUGCUCUGGGUCAGAGCCUUGGUUCCAAGCGGUGCAGCUCUGGGUGGGAUGGUUCUGAUGGGGGCCUGCUUUCUUGCCAACAUGGGAUUUCUGAGUAAGGAUGAGUCGAGGCCAGGGAGAGACAUCAGGAAAGAUGUGGCUAGCUUGGGGUCUUUACUCCCACCACCAGCAGGGACCCACACUCCCCCCAGCCCCCUGCAGACCCAUCUUAGGAUCCCCGGAACAACUCCCUUUAUUUCUGGAUUUUGCUGUCACACACUCACCUGUCCCUUCUGCACCUGGGACUUAAGCCCCCUGUGGGUGGGCCCAUCCCAGUCCUUGCAGGAGGCAGCCUGGGACCCUCUGGAGACAAGUGACCAA